AGAGCCACAAGUUGCCCAGGUCUGCUUUAGAAGGUUUGCUACAUCUCCUAAUGCCACGGGUUGCCAUGGCAAUGUGAGUUGAUGCCGUUGCUCACACUGUGCAUCCAUGUGCGAGGCCGUGUGAUGCCAGUGUGCACAGCCAGAAGUGGACAGACUGGAGCACCGGACAGAGUGUUGGGGGAAGCAACCAGCUAAAGAAGAUCCAAGCUACUGUGACCAGCACACAACCAAUCCCUGUGGAAGGUGCUUGUCAUAAUCUACAUCCUGGUGAUGAGGUGAUGGUCAGAAAUUUCCUGAGAUCGGGCUCGCUGACAGACCGGUGGGAAGGACCUUACCAAGUCUUGUUGACAACCCCAACUGCUGUUAAGAUAAAGGAGAAGACUUCGUGGAUCCACUCCACCCACUGCAGAAAAGUCACGCCUCCUGAGAAAGCACAUGUGGAAGAUAUUCUCCAAGACUCCUCUGCACUUCACCAGUAAAACCAGCAAGUGAGUGGUUCGGGCAUAAUAAUCCCUUGAGCCACUUGCCAACGCAGUAUCUCUGUGGAGGGUACAUAACUCCUAGAAGAGUACUGUGAAGAUCAAAGGACAACAAAGACAAUGCUAAACAGGAUGAUGCUGAUAGGCCAAAGGCCAGACCGUGGACUAUGGGGGUGCAUUCUCUCAUGGGCAUGUCUGAUUACAAUCAUACUCAUUGUGCUUGAGUGUUGUAUAUACAUUCCAGGGUCUGUUAACAAUGUGACCAGUCAAACAGGUAAUGUAACAUCUUACAAUGAAGCGUUAUUCAAGACACGUGUGUGUAGGGCCUUACAAAAGAAUAAUUAUGGAGGAGAAUUUACAGGUAAUUCCAUGAUAGCAAUGCACAGUAAAAUUGCAAAGGCUCUCAACACAAGCAAAUGUUGGAUUUGUACCCACCUACCCAUCAGUGUAGAUGCAGGUAUACCCCUCCUGGCUCAUUACAUAAGCACAGCUGACAUGAUAGACAGAGAUUGGUCCUGCCAUAAGCGAAAGAAUGGUAGUCGCAGUUGUGCCAAUAAGACACCUAAAGUACAGAAUAUAGUAGACUUCCCAUAUUUGGAUGUCUUAGACGCAGGCUUGCUGUAUGCGCCCGCUCUGCAGGUAUCUGCAGCCAAAGGGAAACCUGAAUUCUGCUUAAGUGUUAAUGAAAAGUCCCACCCAUAUGUGUACAAGGAAAAAAUAUUACAGGUAAAAAGCCCAAACCUAGGGUACACUAACUAUACUGGAGCCACAUUUGUGGUAAAGAUGUCCGGUAGAUGCUCCCUCAAGAAUCUCAAAACCUGUUGGCAUUCCAUAGAUGCAAAUGGGCAUUAACACCUAACGAUACUUUAUACCAACUACAGAGAAAGGUGUACACUUGAUAACAGCACAUGUGGAGAUGCCAAUGGUAAUAACACAGGGUACUUUAUGAUAUACAUAAGGCUCAUUUAUACCAAAACUUUUGGGAUGCCUCUGCCUAAGGGUAUGUAUUGGGUUUGUGGAAAAAUAAGAAUUUACUUACCGAUAAUUCUAUUUCU